rnacentral:lncRNA from 11 species
GAAUGUGGGAAGGAGGGAAGGGAGGAGGCUCCUCCCCGGGUUCCGCCUUCUCCCCGGUUUCCGCCGCCCGAGGCCCUGGCCGCCCCCAAAGGCGAAGCAGGGCAAUGAGUGAAAUCUCAACUUGGUGAGCGGAGAAAAUCAGGAGGAAAGAAUUCUGUAACUCAACCAAGUGACUUGCAAGGAGGGCUAACUGCUCCCGGGAAAGAACUGGUCCAUUCAUUCUUCACAAGUCUUGCUGUACAUUCCCGAUAAACAUUUCUUUUUGGACUGAGGCAUUCAGGACCGAAAAGCAGAUUCCAGAUGUCGGGCAAGAGCAAAGUCCGUCAAAGCUGUGGCACUGUUCAGAAUCAAAUGUAGAAGAAGCAAAAACCUCUCAUUACGGCUUCUUCCCGCUCGCAGCGACAAGAGGUGGCAAGAUUGCGGGAGGAAAUUAAUCACGGCG